GGAUUCCCCUAGUAACUGCGAGUGAAGCGGGAAAAGCUCAAAUUUAAAAUCUGGCGGUCUUUGGCCGUCCGAGUUGUAGUCUGGAGAAGUGCUUUCCGCGCUGGACCGUGUAUAAGUCUCUUGGAACAGAGCGUCAUAGAGGGUGAGAAUCCCGUCUUUGACACGGACUACCAGUGCUUUGUGAUGCGCUCUCAAAGAGUCGAGUUGUUUGGGAAUGCAGCUCAAAAUGGGUGGUGAAUUCCAUCUAAAGCUAAAUAUUGGCGAGAGACCGAUAGCGAACAAGUACCGUGAGGGAAAGAUGAAAAGCACUUUGGAAAGAGAGUUAAACAGUACGUGAAAUUGCUGAAAGGGAAACGCUUGAAGUCAGUCGCGUCUGCCGGAACUCAGCCUUCCUUUUGGUUGGUGCACUUUCCGGUAGACGGGCCAGCAUCGAUUUCGACCGUCGGAUAAGGGGUGGGGAAAUGUGGCACCUUCGGGUGUGUUAUAGUCCUCAGUCGCAUACGGCGGUUGGGAUCGAGGAACGCAGCGCGCCGCAAGGCAGGGGUUCGCCCACUUUCGCGCUUAGGAUGCUGGCAUAAUGGCUUUAAACGACCCGUCUUGAAACACGGACCAAGGAGUCUAACAAACCUGCGAGUGUUUGGGUGGAAAACCCGAGCGCGUAAUGAAAGUGAAAG
rnacentral:rRNA from 1 species